rnacentral:rRNA from 1 species
GACGAACGCUGGCGGCGUGCCUAAUACAUGCAAGUCGAACGCAGUGGGGACGGGUGAGUAACACGUGGGUAACCUCCCAUCAGAGGGGAUAACACUUGGAAACAGGUGCUAAACCGAUACUGAUGGAUGGACCCGCGGUGCAGUAGCUAGUUGGUGAGGUAACGGCCAACCAAGGACACGAUGCAUAGCCGACUUGAGAGGGUGAUCGGCAAAACUGGAACGAAGCCACGGCCCAGUCUCCUACGGGAGGCAGCAGUAGGGAAUCUUCGGCCAUGGACGAAAGUCUGACCGAGCCACGCCGCGUGAGUGAAGAAGGUUUUGGGAUCGUAAAACUCUGUUAUUAGAGAAGCGGUAUCUAACCAGAAAGCCACGGCUAACUACGUGCCAGCAGCCGCGGUAAUUC